ensembl:misc_RNA Y_RNA Y RNA
GGCUGGUCUGAAGGUAGUGAGUCAUCUCGAUUGUUCACAGUCAGUAACAGAUCAAACUCCUUGUUGUACUCUUUCCCGUUCUCACGACUGCACUUGACUCGUCUUAA